GAAAGAUGGCUUUGGCUAUUACUCUGGGAUGGACCUGCGGUGCAUUAGCUAGUUGGUAAGGUAACGGCUUACCAAGGCGAUGAUGCAUAGCCGAGUUGAGAGACUGAUCGGCCACAAUGGAACUGAGACACGGUCCAUACUCCUACGGGAGGCAGCAGUAGGGAAUCUUCCACAAUGGGCGCAAGCCUGAUGGAGCAACACCGCGUGAGUGAAGAAGGGUUUCGGCUCGUAAAGCUCUGUUGUUGGAGAAGAACGUGCGUGAGAGUAACUGUUCACGCAGUGACGGUAUCCAACCAGAAAGUCACGGCUAACUACGUGCCAGCAGCCGCGGUAAUACGUAGGUGGCAAGCGUUAUCCGGAUUUAUUGGGCGUAAAGCGAGCGCAGGCGGUUGCUUAGGUCUGAUGUGAAAGCCUUCGGCUUAACCGAAGAAGUGCAUCGGAAACCGGGCGACUUGAGUGCAGAAGAGGACAGUGGAACUCCAUGUGUAGCGGUGGAAUGCGUAGAUAUAUGGAAGAACACCAGUGGCGAAGGCGGCUGUCUGGUCUGCAACUGACGCUGAGGCUCGAAAGCAUGGGUAGCGAACAGGAUUAGAUACCCUGGUAGUCCAUGCCGUAAACGAUGAGUGCUAGGUGUUGGAGGGUUUCCGCCCUUCA
rnacentral:rRNA from 1 species